AAGUCGUAACAAGGUUUCCGUAGGUGAACCUGCGGAAGGAUCAUUAACGAGUCUUGAAAUGGGUUGUAGCUGGCCUCACCAGGCAUGUGCUCGCCCUGCUCAAAUCCACUCUACACCUGUGAACCUACUGUGGGCUUGGUAUUUGGGAGGCCUGGUUUCUUGCUUGGUCUUUUGAGCCAAGCUCAUGUUUCAUUACAAACACUGUAGUAUCAGAAUGUUUAUCACGAUGUAACACAUCUAUAUACAACUUUCAGCAACGGAUCUCUUGGCUCUC
rnacentral:misc_RNA from 1 species